UACGUAGGGUCCAAGCGUUGUCCGGAUUUAUUGGGCGUAAAGGGCGCGUAGGCGGUCGGAUAAGUCUUGUGUGAAAUCUUCGGGCUCAACUCGAAGUCUGCACAGGAAACUAUCUGGCUUGAGUGUGGGAGAGGUGAGUGGAAUUCCUGGUGUAGCGGUGAAAUGCGUAGAUAUCAGGAGGAACACCUGUGGCGAAAGCGGCUCACUGGACCACAACUGACGCUGAGGCGCGAAAGCUAGGGGAGCAACAGG
rnacentral:rRNA from 1 species